GUAAUAUAAACUAAUAAAAGAGAAAGCUAGGUUUUAAAUUCAGUUGUGUGCUUUGAAGACCAUUCACUCAGAAAGACAAUAAGAGCCAAAUCUGGCACAGACAUGUUCAUUGAAGAAGACCCUUUAGGGCUUAAACAGAUCUGUACAAUAACAACAAGCCCAAUGCUUUCCUCUGUGGGUGAGAUGACAUAGAGACAGAGAGACAGAGAGACAGAGAGACAGAGAGACAGAGAGAGAGACAGACAGACAGACAGACAGACAGACAGACAGACAGACAGACAGACAGACAGACAGACAGACAGACAGACAGACAGACAGACAGAGAGUGUGUGAGAGAGUGCAUGAGAGCGAGACAGUGAGUGAGUGAGUGAGUGAGUGAGUGAGUGAGUGAGUGAGUGAGUGAGUGAGUGAGUGAGUGAGUGAGUGUGAGUGAGUGUGAGAGAGUGUGAGAGAGUGUGAGAGAGAGAGAGAGAGAGAGAGAGAGAGAGAGAGAGAGAGAGAGAGAGAGAGAGAGAGAGAGAGAGAGAGAGAGAGAGAGAGAGAGAGAGAGAGAGAGAGAGAGAGAGAGAGAAUGCCAUAGAUUGAGAGCUCAGUCUGUCUGCCAACUCUUAUUGAGAAAUGACACGUCAGUUCACUGUGUUAUCUGUGCGAAUCACCAGCGCUUCAAACCCUUCCGGCCUAAUUACCGUUAUUAGUGGGAAUGUCAAUCAAACUAGGAAUGAAAUCACGAUCUGAGACCUCCCGCUGUCACCCUGCUGCGGAUCCUAUUGUGAUGGUGAUUAGCAACAGACGGUCCAGGCACUCAUCUCUGAUCUGUCUCUGGCAUAGAGAAGAGAUGGAGAGGUACAGAGGAGGACAGGAAAGAUGGAGGAGAGGAGUGGGAUAGACAGGAGUAAAAGAGUGUAGGAGGGACAGAGGGGUAGAGGAGUGAGAGAGAGAAAAAGGGAGGGAGGAGUGUGAUAGACAGGGGUAACAGAGUGUAGGAGGGACAGAGGGGUAGAGGAGUGAGAGAGAGAGAAAGGGAGGGAGGAGUGUGAUAGACAGGGGUUACAGAGUGUAGGAGGGACAGAGGGGUAGAGGAGUGAGAGAGAGAGAGAAAGAGAGGGAGGAGUGUGAUAGACAGGGGUAACAGAGUGUAGGAGGGACAGAGGGGUAGAGGAGUGAGAGAGAGAGAAAGGGAGGGAGGAGUGUGAUAGACAGGGGUUACAGAGUGUAGGAGGGACAGAGGGGUAGAGGAGUGAGAGAGAGAGAGAAAGAGAGGGAGGAGUGUGAUAGACAGGGGUAACAGAGUGUAGGAGGGACAGAGGGGUAGAGGAGUGAGAGAGAGAGAAAGGGAGGGAGGAGUGUGAUAGACAGGGGUAACAGAGUGUAGGAGGGACAGAGGGGUAGAGGAGUGAGAGAGAGAGAAAGGGAGGGAGGAGUGUGAUAGACAGGGGUAACAGAGUGUAGGAGGGACAGAGGGGUAGAGGAGUGAGAGAGAGAGAAAGGGAGGGAGGAGUGUGAUAGACAGGAAGGAGUAACAGAGUGUAGGAGGGACAGAGGGGUAGAGGAGUGAGAGAGAGAGAAAGGGAGGGAGGAGUGUGAUAGACAGGGGUUACAGAGUGUAGGAGGGACAGAGGGGUAGAGGAGUGAGAGAGAGAGAAAGAGAGGGAGGAGUGUGAUAGACAGGGGUAACAGAGUGUAGGAGGGACAGAGGGGUAGAGGAGUGAGAGAGAGAGAAAGGGAGGGAGGAGUGUGAUAGACAGGAGUAACAGAGUGUAGGAGGGACAGAGGGGUAGAGGAGUGAGAGAGAGAGAAAGGGAGGGAGGAGUGUGAUAGACAGGGGUUACAGAGUGUAGGAGGGACAGAGGGGUAGAGGGGUGAAAGAGAGAAAGAGAGGGGGGAGUGUGAUAGACAGGGUAACAGAGUGUAGGGGGGACAGAGGGGUAGAGGAGUGAAAGAGAGAGAGAAAGAGAGGGAGAAGGGAGAUAUGAGAAGGGUAGUGAGGUGAGAGAGGUAGAGAGGUAGAGAUAUGAGAAGGGUAGAGAGGUAGAGAGGUUGAGAGAGGUAGAGAUAUGAGAAGGGUAGAGAGGUAGAGAGGUUGAGAGAGGUAGAGAUAUGAGAAGGAUAGAGAGGUGAGAGAGGUAGAGAUAUGAGAAGGGUAGAGAGGUGAGAGAGGUAGAGAUAUGAGAAGGAUAGAGAGGUGAGAGAGGUAGAGAUAUGAGAAGGAUAGAGAGGUGAGAGAGGUAGAGAGGUAGAGAUAUGAGAAGGAUAGAGAGGUGAGAGAGGUAGAGAUAUGAGAAGGAUAGAGAGGUGAGAGAGGUAGAGAUAUGAGAAGGGUAGAGAGGUGAGAGAGGUAGAGAGGUAGAGAUAUGAGAAGGAUAGAGAGGUGAGAGAGGUAGAGAGGUAGAGAUAUGAGAAGGAUAGAGAGGUGAGAGAGGUAGAGAUAUGAGAAGGAUAGAGAGGUGAGAGAGGUAGAGAUAUGAGAAGGAUAGAGAGGUGAGAGAGGUAGAGAUAUGAGAAGGAUAGAGAGGUGAGAGAGAUAGAGAUAUGAGAAGGGUAGAGAGGUGAGAGAGGUAGAGAUAUGAGAAGGAUAGAGAGGUGAGAGAGGUUGAGAGGUGAGAGAGAUAGAGGUGAGAAGGGUAGAGAGGUUGAGAGAGGUAGAGAGGUGAGAGAGGUGAGAAGGGUAGAGAGGUAGAGGUGAGAGAGGUAGAGAGGUGAGAAGGGUAGAGAGGUAGAAGUGAGAGAGGUAGAGAGGUGAGCGAGGUAGAGAGGUGAGAAGGGUAGAGAGGUGAGAGAGGUAGAGAGGUGAUAGAGGUGAGAGAAAGGAAGAGAGGUAGAGUGGUGAGAUAGGUAGAGAGGUGAGAGAGAUAGAGAGGUAGAGAGGUGAGAUAAGUAGAGAGGUAGAGAGGUGAGAGAGGUAGAGAGGUAGAGAAGUGAGAGAGGUGAGAGAGGUGAGAGAGGUAGAGAGGUAGAGAGGUGAGAUAGGUAAAGAGGUAGAGAGGUAGAGAGGUGAGAUAGGUAGAGAGGUGAGAUAGGUAGAGAGGUAGAGGUAGAGAGGUAGAGAGAACACGCUGUGACUUGAGGAGGAUAUUAACUGUGUUUUCUCUGUAACUUUAUCCCACCACAAUCUGUCUUUGUUAAAGUCAAGUUCACACAGGCUUUAUUGGCCAUGGUGAAGAGAGAAGGGGGCGAUGGAGCUGUGGUCGUCCUGGGAGAGGAGCGGAGGUAAGCUACACCUCCAACAAACAAAGACAGUGGGUUUCCUGCGGGCAGUCACCUGACGAGCCUGGCCCUGUAGUGGACAUACGAUCUGUUCCCUGAUGUUACACUACCUUCACCCUCAGCUAACGCACCGGGAAGCUCCCUUUCUCACAGAGAGAGACCUUAACUCAGACUUAGGAAAUAUGGAUACAAACACACACAUACACACACACACAGUGACAAAAACAUAUGUAUACAGUACAGUACUCUCCUCCUGUUCCAUCUCUCCUCCUGUUCCACCUCUCCUCCUGUUCCACCUCACCUCCUGCUCCACCUCACCGCCU